AGUUGUUAUUUUUGUUUAUAGUCAUUAGUGUCUUCCAUGGUUUCGAUUUUCAUUUCUCUAAUGAUUGAGCAUCUUCUCAUGUACUUAUUUGCAUAUUUUCUUUGGAGAAUCCAGAGCUUUUAAAUGCAGAUUAGAUUUUUCUCAGGACUGGUUUUGGCCUGUGGAUGGUAUGACCACUGACAUUUCUGUCUAACCAAAAUUCUGUUAUUAUUGUUUGGGCUUCUGAGCUAGCUUCUUAAUAAUGGGAGAUUAUUGAAGUCCUUUCUAUUCUUAGCAUUCAGGUUUUUAGUUCGACUGAAAUUUCAACAAUUGACUCUUUUGGGUGAUGAUAGUGCUGAAGCUUAUUAAUAAAAACUUUAAAAUAAUAGCACAUUUAAAAAUAAAUUCAGUUUUAUUGUUUUGAUUUUAUGAAAAUGCUGUUUUUGGAGCUGUUGGGAUAGGAUAGGUGAUCCUACAGCUCUUAAAGAAUCUUGUAAAUUCUUAAAGAGAAAUCCCAGGCUUUCCAAAUUUGAAUAUUCAUUGUCCUCUUUGACUUUUAUUUCGUUUCCUCCCUUUUAUUCCCCAUGUGCUUAAUUUUGGACAAUAUCAGUGAAUAUAGAGUGUCCACUCUAUCCUGAAUG